AGAAGUUCUAAUGAUCAGAAGUCAUUUCAGUUUAUAUACGUUUUUAGAAAUUGGAAGUUUUCCUUCUGAUCUGAUCCAUUUUUACCCUCUAUGUUUGCAGUCAUAUUACCAGUUCCUCAAACACAAAUUUAAAGCAGAGCUGCACCUCUGUCUUCUGAUGAGCAAGGGGAAUGAUGCUGUCUCAAGAAACUACAGGAUUCUGACCCAGAUCUAUGUUAGGAUGGAAUUAUGGUUACAACUCUCAGACUAG
ensembl:lncRNA